CCGGUCGGAUGCCAAACCACUCGCGAGGGUGGGACGGAAAGCCAAGGAUCUCUGGACUCCAAAAGAACAAGAGACAGCCUGGUUGCAAAG
rnacentral:ncRNA from 1 species